AACGAACGCUGGCGGCAGGCUUAACACAUGCAAGUCGAACGCAUCCUUCGGGGUGAGUGGCAGACGGGUGAGUAACGCGUGGGAACGUGCCCUUCAGUUCGGGAUAACCCAGGGAAACUUGGGCUAAUACCGGAUAUGUGCGAGAGCAGAAAGAUUUAUCGCUGAAGGAUCGGCCCGCGUCCGAUUAGCUAGUUGGUGGGGUAAUGGCCCACCAAGGCGACGAUCAGUAGCUGGUCUGAGAGGAUGAUCAGCCACAUUGGGACUGAGACACGGCCCAAACUCCUACGGGAGGCAGCAGUGGGGAAUAUUGGACAAGGGGCGCAAGCCUGAUCCAGCCAUGCCGCGUGAGUGAUGAAGGCCUUAGGGUUGUAAAGCUCUUUCGUCCGGGACGAUAAUGACGGUACCGGAAGAAGAAGCCCCGGCUAACUUCGUGCCAGCCGCCGCGGUAA
rnacentral:rRNA from 1 species